GAAUAGUUCCCUUCAAGCCAAUCGCAAUGCAAUGCCUAGGUUUACUUCUUCAUUUCUUAGACAGAAAAAGGUCAGGUUGUAAAAUGUAAUCAUGCCUAUGAGCAGUGCUGUUUUAAGGCAUUGAUAGGCACAAUGUAGUUUAAAAACAGGAGUGUAAUUUCUUUUAAAAAAUUGGCAUGACCCUCAAAGCAGAAUGUUUUUUGGUCACAUAUCUUCAUUUUCUUACCCCCUAUCCACAUUAUCAAGGGGUUUACUGGAGUGGGCUAUAUGUCAAAUGUGCACUCUGGCAUCUACGUAGACAUGCUUUAAGAGUCCAUGUGUGCUCAAACACUCCUGACAUACUGCUGUAUUUGUGAAUGACAUGGCUUAAAUCAUUUACAUGUAAUGCUCUGUGCCAGGACAGCUGUGCAUGCUAUGUAAAAUAUAAAUUAAAUGGACUGUAAUUUUAAAAAGAAACUAAAGCACAACCCAUAACUAACAUUUAGUUGGUACAAAAAAAACACGUUAGAGGUCCACUUUAAGGAACAUAAGGACUGUGGUGCCUUUUUAUUUUUUUAUUUUUUUUUAAAUAGAACCCAGGAGAAUAAGCUUCAUACUAUGGUACCAAGUAUUAACUUUGGUAUUCUCCAUGCCAUUAGUGAUCAAACAUGUUUGAACAGCAUUCCUGCAACCAGUAAUGUAAUAUUUGGUGGAUGUGUGAUUACUUCAAAGUCACAGGACUGGACAACAUUAAAUCGAAAAUCCUACCAUGAAGUAGUAUAUAGUCCAUCUGACCUCUAUUUGGACAGCCCCAAACUAAACCUUUUGCAGCUAUUUUUAAAUAUUAUAUAUCAUUUCAAAUGCCACUUAUGAUAAAAAAGCAAACUGAAACUGGAAUAACCAAAGAAGAUUGCAAAGGUUUUUGUUCUGUAUUUGUAUUAUUGUGUUUGAUUUUCUGGAAAAAUUUAAUAUUUUGGAUCCCAUUCUUUAGCGUUCGAUUAAUAAACCCCUUCCUUGUAAACGGCUAUUUCUCAUGGUCCUUGAAAAAGAAGUUUACUUGUUGGCGUAAUGUCAGAGUCAAAAUCAAGGGAAGUACACAAACUCUCCAGACCUCAUUGCAAUACAGCCUGUUAGACUAGGAUGCCACAACACAUAAGAUCUGUUUACUGGUGCUUUUUUAACCCCUUAAGAACCAAACUUCUGGAAUAAAAGGGAAUCGUGUCAUGUGUCCUUAAGGGGUUAAAGUACCAGGUUGUACCACAACCAUGGGUAUGCAUCAAAACCGUUUUGGUUUCAGCCAAAAAAAUAAAUUAGGGUCAACUGUAGGAUGUAGAAAAGAUUUGGAAUGCAAUAAGCAUUUAAUGUCGAUUGUCAUAUUGCCCAUCUGGCAUUCAAAGGUGUAUUUUUUAUUUUUUUUAUUUAGUGGGUCUGCAACACACCUGUAUGAAGGUUUGUUUAUUGUUGUGCAAUGCUUUUUACCAUGUUCCUUUAUUUGCUUGUUUUCUUCCACCUGCCGCUGGUACGACAGAUCUGCACAAGGAUGUAUAUUAAUGCUAACGACCAACAUUUGGUCAACUCAGAGCCACUUGUUCACAUUUUUUUUUCUUUUUUUAUAAUUAUGUUUGUAAAAUAAGCCCUUUUACUUUGUAAGCUGUGUACAAUAAAAAAAAAAAUCAAAAAUGACUUUGUACAAAAUGUUUCAUUAUUACUAUAAGCUGAAUUGUAACAAAG